rnacentral:lncRNA from 1 species
GCGGAACACGAAGUUAAAGGAUAAUGGUAGAUUACUUUCAUUCGUCCUGAGAAGCUCCUGUUUAAGUUUGACCCACGGGAAGAAAGGAAUGUCAACAAGAAGACCACAAUUGGUUCUAAUACGAAUGAAGACCGUCUGUUUAAAGCAUGCCCUUUAAACGUUUAUUAAACAAUUCAAGCAUCUUGAUCUGUUGUCAAGAUUCAGAUAAUAUUGUUUGAUUCAGUCCUACUUGAAUCCUGUCCUUAUUACAAGAUUUCAUCUUAAACUCAAGACUUGCCUGCCUAUAAUUACAAGAUUGGAUCUUAAACCCAAGACUGGCCUGCCUAUAAUCACAAGAUUAAAUCUUAAACUCAAGACUUG